AGAGGGGUGGGUUUGUAAAGCCCUUUGGGAUAGAACAGCCUCUUCCUGUUUGGUUUCUAAAAUGAAAAUAUAUGCCUAAGCAGCACUACAUGUUCUGUACAACACAAAACUCCCCAGGCCAAGAGUAAUGCCAAUGUUGGCUUAUUUACUUUAGGUUGGUUAUUCUGCAUCACGUAGCAGACAUCACAUAAGAAACUGUUAAGUGGAUGAAGAAUGAGAGAAAGGGUCAGAAUGGAUAGAAUUGGGAGAGACAGAGGAAGCAUCCGGAAUUUUGCCCUGUCUUAUAGUUCAGGGCAGGAUGGUCAAUGGUUCAUCCAGAUGAGGGAAAUAGCACGGGUAAAGGCACAACGGUGGCAUGUACAAGGCAUCCCAGGAAAAUUAAGGCAAUUGCACAAAAGCAGAGUAUUAUUGGAGUACUAUUUGGUUUUCAGUGUAGUCAAAGUAGGCUCAGUGAGUAACCACAUCCUAACAACUGACCUCAAGGGAGCACCAAGCAGGAGAGAACGCUGGGCUAAAUGUGUUUUAUGUAUUAGCGCAUCUCACUUCCAGAACCCCGAGGGGUAGGCACUGUUUUUUAUUUACAUUGUUCAGAUGAGGAGCCCCAGCCUGUGGUGUUGCAACAAUUUGCCCAAGGUCACACGUUUAUAAGCAGCAGACCCAGAACAUAAACUCAGACGGUUGAGACUGUGUGCUUGCUUUGAGACAGACCACCUUCCCUUAGCUAUCCAUUAUGAAUUCAAAGUUAAUAAGGCAUUGACUAGUUAAUUAAGAGCAUCCUUUUCUGGGAUUGAUUUCUUCCUUCAUGAGUGCAGAAAGUGUCAAAACACAGUCCUGAGAAAGCUAAUGCUUCUGGUCAUCAAGCAUCUUGCCAAAGAAAAGAACCUAAAAAUCAAUCUGGCUAGUCUCUCUUGCCAAGUUAACCACAGAUUUUAAAGAAAGGGGCAAAGAGUAGGAUACUUUCAGUUAGCUAGAACUAGCCAUCUGACCCUUCCAAGACCUUAACUUAACUAGCCAUCUGACCCUUCCAAGAUCUUAACAUCUCUUACAGCCUAAAGCUGCAAGACACCUGAUUUGGUCUCUAUCUCCCUAUAGGGAUGAGCAAAGGCCUUUGGAAUUCUGCCCAUGUGAGGAAUAUAAAAACUCUGGAGCUAAAGGCCUAGCCAGAUAAAGAAGCAGGUGGAUGCCCAAAAAUGCUGUCCUUUGCAAUUUUUACAAAGGAUUGAAAAUGCAGAACUUUUUUAUUAGUUCGUGAGACUGAUAGAAUACCCUCUUUGAUUUGAUUUAAAAUAUACUUUGAUGACUUCCUCCUCCAAAUAUGGAGAGAAUUUGUCCAUGACCUUUCCAGGGGUCACAGGAUUCCUCUGAUACUAUCUUGAAAGAUAGCAUCUCCUCCUCCAAAUAUGGAGAGAAUCUGAUGCUAUCUUGAAAGAUAGCAUCUUCCUCCUCCAAAUAUGGAGAGCAUUUGUCCUUGACCUUUCCAGGGGUCACAGAACUCCUCUGAUGCUAUCUUGAAAGAUGUUUUUUGAGUUGUUGAAUUUUAGGGGUCUCCCACUCCCAGCACAAACCAGUAGGGCAUUUUCAUUUCCCUUCUUAUUUGUAUAACUUAAGACAAGUAAACAUCUUGUCCUUUGUGAGUCUUCCACCUUUUUCUCUCUAUUCUGCAUUGAACCUGUUUUAAUUGGAUAUAUUGACCUAAAAAAUUAAACACACGACCUAAGUAGGCAGAGAGGAAAGCUAGGCUUUCAAUUCUUGGAACAGAUUGUAGCUACUUGAUGUUAGGUCAUACAGAGAAAUUACACAGUGAGAGAGCAAUCCUUUUGCCUGGUGGGAGAAUGGAUCCUGCACUGGGAAAAAAAAUUCUUGACAUGGUUCAUAAAACACACUCAACAAAAGAAAAACCUGUCUGGAUCAGAUACUGUGCAAAUUAAAAUUUCGUUACAUUUCCACAAGAAUGAGUGUCCAAGACAAACCAAGUUUUGUCAGUACUUUCAUCUAUAUGAAACACCAAUUAACUAAGGCCAACAACUUGUGUUAACAGAGCAAAAUAAGAAGAGAAGUAUAAUCUAAACAGAAAGCUUGGAUUUCCUAUGAAUUCUCCCAUGAUUUGGACCUUAAAAAUUCUCUAUAUUCAGUGUCUAAUGCCCAUCAAGAAUGAUCUAAGGAUGAUGUGUAUGCUUGCAUUUGUUUAUUCAUACUUUUUUGCCAUUAUAAGGAGGAACCGGCCCAAUGAAACACUGCAUGUCUGGCCUGGUGAUCAAUUAUGCUUCUAUUUAUUCUUCCACCAUUAAAGCUGUGCGGUUUUUUUUUUUUUUUGAAGUUAUUAGAUCUACUAGUUUCUGGAUCGCUUGUAAAUAUUCUUCGCAAAUACAAGAAUACUUGGUAGGAGCUAAAACAGCUUUCUUUCCCAUUUUCCACUAUUUUCAUGAGCAAUACCAUCGUUUCCUUAAUUAAAUUGAAUCUUGUUAGACCCUUUGGAGCCUGUGAUUUAUUCCUUGCUGUCAUCUCACUGCUAGUCAUUAGUAACAAAGUGUGCUGGUUGAUGAUAAUAUCUUUCUUAUUCAGAGAAUUAUUCUUCACUUCUCCCCUUGCCCCUGGAGUAGACCUGUUACCUCUUCACGCCUGGCACUGUACUACACCAACCAGUGGUGUUUCAUGACCCCAGUGUUUCUCUUAUACAUCCUUCGUGUACUUUGUCAUCAGUUAGUGCUACUUUGUUGCCUCCAUAAUGUGGUUUACCUGUCCCAGUGUCUUGACAUUCAAAGCCUUUCACCAUGUCGCUUUAUUACCCCACGGUCCCAGGCAAAUACCCUUUAUCUACAUAAGUUGAUUCUAUUAAAUGUGUCUU
rnacentral:lncRNA from 1 species